UUUUUUAGUUUAACUAAAAUAUAAGCCUACCUGCGGUAUACCGCAAGUUAAUAUAUAGUUAGCUCAAUAUCAUUGUAAUAAUUAAAUAUUAUUUGCUUCGUUCCAAAUAUUUUAUAAGAAAUUUAGCAGAGUUUUACGUAUUUGCUUUGGCCUCUCUUCAGCUACAGUUAGAGAUCCAGAUAUGGCGGAUGCAGUAGCAAGAUUUUUUUAUGUUACUAUUUUAUUUCUCUAUACAUGUUUCCAUGAAAUUAACCAACUACAGUAAAACCUCUAUAAAUUAAUAAUAUUGGGACCAAAAAAAUUUAUUAAUUUAGAGAAGUAUUAAGUUAUCGAUAAAU
rnacentral:sRNA from 1 species